GGCUCAGUCACCUGCAAACACAGUGAUUGCUCUAUAGUAAAGCCAUUGCUGCCAGGCAGAGCUGGGCAUAGCAGCGAUCCAAAUCUGGGCAUAGAGUUCAGUGGUAGAGCGGAGCUCUCCAUGUGGGAGGAUCCAUACCAGCUACACUCUAAUAUUGGACAAAGGAAAGGAAAAGGCACCCAAGCACCGCGCCAUGCCCCAUCCUAGACUGGACUUUCAAGCAGGACACAUCCACCCAAGGUCAACAGCUAAAUUGGUGGCUGAUUCCAGCCUGAGCCAGAUUUCCCGCUGCUGUGGUCCUAGUGAGAUUCUACAAACCAAGCUUUCUCGUUAAUGAAAGACCAACGUUGUCUUUGCUUGGCAAGGGAAAGCCAGGGCGGCCUGUGAGUCUCCUCUGUCUGCCAGGCUGGAACCUGUUUUCCCUGGCUCUCUGAGAGUUCCCUGUUCCUGUUCGGAUUGUUUCUUAGAAGGAAAUUACCUCUAGAAUAAAGUCAAGUUUAAGAGUCCGUGUCUGAGGACAGUGGCUGGCUGGAUCUGGUUUACUUUUUUGUAUUCCCAGAAGCAGGAUGAAGGAUCAGCCCAGUUUCCCAGGAAAUGUGUGCGCUGUGGAGGCCGCUUGCUGUGGUCUCUGGGUUGUAGCAGAGCUCAAAGAGCUCAGAGUUAGAGAGAGG
rnacentral:lncRNA from 1 species